rnacentral:lncRNA from 1 species
CUCCCUGCUCUAAACACAUACCAAAACUCUCUCCACCUGUGAAGCCACCUCCGUCUAAUGCUCCACCUGAAUCCGAAGUCUCCCUGAUGCUACAAAAGCUGACUCUGUACCUGAGUCCUCUGAGGCCAACCAUCCAAUGCUGUCUUGUUGGGCCUGUUGCUGUACCUCGAACACCAUUGCUAUCCCUUCGGACUCUCUGCACUCCGUGGAUCCCUU